rnacentral:lncRNA from 1 species
AGCAAUUAUGACUCCUACAAGAAGAGUCCGGGAAGUACCUCAAGAAGGCAGUCAAUCAGCCCACCUUAUAAAGAGCCUUCUGCUUACCAGUCCAGCACUCGGUCACCCAGUCCCUACAGCCGACGACAGAGGUCAGUGAGCCCCUAUAGCCGGAGACGGUCAUCCAGCUAUGAAAGGAGCGGUUCUUACAGCGGGAGAUCACCCAGCCCCUAUGGCCGAAGGCGAUCUAGCAGCCCUUUCUUGAGCAAGAGGUCUCUGAGUCGGAGUCCAAUCUCCAGGAAAUCCAUGAAGUCCAGAAGUAGAAGUCCUGCAUAUUCAAGACACUCAUCUUCACAUAGUAAAAAGAAGCGAUCCGGGUCACGAAGUCGUCAUUCCAGCAUC